GACGAACGCUGGCGGCGUGCUUAACACAUGCAAGUCGAACGAUGAAGCCUAGCUUGCUAGGUGGAUUAGUGGCGAACGGGUGAGUAAUACGUGAGUGACCUACCUUUGACUCUGGGAUAAGCCUGGGAAACUGGGUCUAAUACCGGAUAUGACCAAUCUCCGCAUGGGGUGUUGGUGGAAAGCGUUAUGGAGUGGUUUUAGAUGGGCUCACGGCCUAUCAGCUUGUUGGUGAGGUAAUGGCUUACCAAGGCGACGACGGGUAGCCGGCCUGAGAGGGUGACCGGCCACACUGGGACUGAGACACGGCCCAGACUCCUACGGGAGGCAGCAGUGGGGAAUAUUGCACAAUGGGCGCAAGCCUGAUGCAGCGACGCCGCGUGAGGGAUGACGGCCUUCGGGUUGUAAACCUCUGUUAGCAUCGAAGAAGCGAAAGUGACGGUAGGUGCAGAGAAAGCGCCGGCUAACUACGUGCCAGCAGCCGCGGUAAUACGUAGGGCGCGAGCGUUGUCCGGAAUUAUUGGGCGUAGAGCUUGUAGGCGGUUGGUCGCGUCUGCUGUGAAAGGCUGGGGCUUAACCCUGGUUUUGCAGUGGGUACGGGCUAACUAGAGUGCAGUAGGGGAGACUGGAAUUCCUGGUGUAGCGGUGGAAUGCGCAGAUAUCAGGAGGAACACCGAUGGCGAAGGCAGGUCUCUGGGCUGUAACUGACGCUGAGAAGCGAAAGCAUGGGGAGCGAACAGGAUUAGAUACCCUGGUAGUCCAUGCCGUAAACGUUGGGCACUAGGUGUGGGGGACAUUCCACGUUUUCCGCGCCGUAGCUAACGCAUUAAGUGCCCCGCCUGGGGAGUACGGCCGCAAGGCUAAAACUCAAAGAAAUUGACGGGGGCCCGCACAAGCGGCGGAGCAUGCGGAUUAAUUCGAUGCAACGCGAAGAACCUUACCAAGGCUUGACAUAUACUGGACUGCGUCAGAGAUGGCGUUUCCCUUCGGGGCUGGUAUACAGGUGGUGCAUGGUUGUCGUCAGCUCGUGUCGUGAGAUGUUGGGUUAAGUCCCGCAACGAGCGCAACCCUCGUUCUAUGUUGCCAGCACGUGAUGGUGGGGACUCAUAGGAGACUGCCGGGGUUAACUCGGAGGAAGGUGGGGAUGACGUCAAAUCAUCAUGCCCCUUAUGUCUUGGGCUUCACGCAUGCUACAAUGGCCGGUACAGAGGGUUGCGAUACUGUGAGGUGGAGCUAAUCCCUAAAAGCCGGUCUCAGUUCGGAUUGGGGUCUGCAACUCGACCCCAUGAAGUCGGAGUCGCUAGUAAUCGCAGAUCAGCAACGCUGCGGUGAAUACGUUCCCGGGCCU
rnacentral:rRNA from 1 species